rnacentral:rRNA from 1 species
GAUGAACGCUAGCGGCAGGCUUAACACAUGCAAGUCGAGGGGUAUAGGUUUUCGGACCUAGAGACCGGCGCACGGGUGCGUAACGCGUAUGCAAUCUACCUUUCACAGAGGGAUAGCCCAGAGAAAUUUGGAUUAAUACCUCAUAGUAUAGCAGUUUCGCAUGAAACCACUAUUAAAGUUCCAACGGUGAAAGAUGAGCAUGCGUCCCAUUAGCUAGAUGGUAAGGUAACGGCUUACCAUGGCUACGAUGGGUAGGGGUCCUGAGAGGGAGAUCGCCCACACUGGUACUGCGACACGGACCAGACUCCUACGGGAGGCAGCAGUGAGGAAUAUUGGUCAAUGGACGCAAGUCUGAACCAGCCAUGCCGCGUGCAGGAUGACGGUCCUAUGGAUUGUAAACUGCUUUUGUACGAGAAGAAACAACAUUACGUGUAAUGUCUUGACGGUAUCGUAAGAAUAAGGAUCGGCUAACUCCGUGCCAGCAGCCGCAGUAACAC